rnacentral:rRNA from 1 species
ACCCAGACUCCUACGGGAGGCAGCAGUGGGGAAUAUUGCACAAUGGGGGAAACCCUGAUGCAGCGACGCCGCGUGAGCGAUGAAGUAUUUCGGUAUGUAAAGCUCUAUCAGCAGGGAAGAAGAUGACGGUACCUGGCUAAGAAGCCCCGGCUAACUACGUGCCAGCAGCCGCGGUAAUACGUAGGGGGCAAGCGUUAUCCGGAUUUACUGGGUGUAAAGGGAGCGUAGACGGCGAUGCAAGCCAGAUGUGAAAGCCCGGGGCUCAACCCCGGGACUGCAUUUGGAACUGUGUGGCUGGAGUGUCGGAGAGGCAGGCGGAAUUCCUAGUGUAGCGGUGAAAUGCGUAGAUAUUAGGAGGAACACCAGUGGCGAAGGCGGCCUGCUGGACGAUGACUGACGUUGAGGCUCGAAAGCGUGGGGAGCAAACAGGAUUAGAUACCCUCGUA